AUUGAACGCUGGCGGCAGGCCUAACACAUGCAAGUCGAACGAGCGGCGGACGGGUGAGUAAUGUAUGGGAAACUGCCUGAUGGAGGGGGAUAACUACUGGAAACGGUAGCUAAUACCGCAUACCAUCGGAUGUGCCCAGAUGGGAUUAGCUAGUAGGUGGGGUAAAGGCUCACCUAGGCGACGAUCUCUAGCUGGUCUGAGAGGAUGACAAGCCACACUGGAACUGAGACACGGCCCAGACUCCUACGGGAGGAAGCAGUGGGGAAUAUUGCACAAUGGGCGCAAGCCUGAUGCAGCCAUGCCGCGUGUAUGAAGAAGGCCUUAGGGUUGUAAAGUACUUUCAGCGGGGAGGCGUUACCCGCAGAAGAAGCACCGGCUAACUCCGUGCCAGCAGCCGCGGUAAUUC
rnacentral:rRNA from 1 species